GUAAGACCUGCACCAUGAAUUUUAAAUCGCCGCUUACUGUGCUAAGGUAGCAUAAUAACUUGCCUAAUAAUUCUAGGAUAGAAUGAAAGGUUUAACAUGAAACCUUCUUUAUUACUAUAAUUAAUUGAAAUUUUCAUGAAAGUAAAAAGACUUUCAUUUCUAAGAGGGACGAUAAGACCCUGUCGAGCUUAACUUAUGUUUAGCUGGGGCGGCAUAAAACUACAUCUUUUAUGAAAUUUUAUAUAAUAUCCUAACUUUUGAUUAAUCAAGCUACCGCAGGGAUAACAGCAUAAUUUUUUUUAAGAGUUCUUAUCAAAAAAAAAGAUUAUGACCUCGAUGUUGAAUUAAAUUUCUCCUUAAAGCAAAAUUUAAGAAUAGAAAGUCUGUUCGACUUUUAAACAUUUACAUGAUUUGAGUUCAGACCGGCGCAAGCCAGGUCGGUUUCUAUCUUCUUAAAAAGUUUUCAGUACGAAAGGACAAAAACUUUAGUAUUUUACU
rnacentral:rRNA from 1 species